GCAUCCGUAGUUUAAUGGAUAAAAUGUUAGAUUCCGGUUCUAACGAUGGGGGUUCGAUUCCCUUCGGGUGCA
rnacentral:tRNA from 1 species